AGGAUAGAGGUUGCGUGAUUUAUGAGUAAUCGCCCGGAUACGGCAGACGUAGGGGAAGAGCGAUGAAAGGAGAGAACGCCGAAAGAGAGUCUGUUCUGCGCAGAUUUUCUUGGGCAUACAUUUAAUAGAUGUAUGACUGUCAUCUUAAAAAGAUGGGGAGCUAUCG
rnacentral:ncRNA from 1 species